rnacentral:rRNA from 1 species
CGACCGGCGCACGGUGAGUAACGCGUAUCCAACCUGCCCACCACUUGGGAUAACCUUGCGAAAGGUAAGACUAAUACCCAAUGAUAUCUCUAGAAGACAUCUGAAAGAGAUUAAGAUUAUCGUGAUGGAUGGGGAUGCGUCUGAUUAGCUUGUUGGCGGGGUAACGGCCCACCAAGGCAACGAUCAGUAGGGGUUCUGAGAGGAAGGUCCCCCACAUUGGAACUGAGACACGGUCCAA